AUGUUAUCACAUGAGUCAAAGCACGUGCAUCUAGCAACGCUAACAUCAGUAGCUGAGCAAAGCCUACUUAGCCAUACAAGUUUUGCUAGGAAGGGGAACAGUGUUUGGGUUCAUGGCAUAUCAAGAGGCAAUUUAAUUCAGUGGUAGGCAGCGAGCAAUAAGACAUGGAAACGCAAACUAGCAUAACAAGUCUAGAGAUGGAAUCAAGGUCAUGUCAUCUUGCGUGUGAUAUCCUCAGCUUGGAAUGGUUCUGGUUCGUCCUACAUGUACUCUCCUGACUCCACGUAUUCGUUCUCCGAUCCCGGUGCUACCCAACAUAAGAAUAGCAACCAAUGAACAACAGCACCACGAGAUGCAACAAUCACAUGAAGCAUGAGAUGAAAAAUGAGCAUGCACCACUAUUUCUAUCCCUAGCACAAGCAAAACAAACUACUGCAAGUUUCUGGACAGAACUGUACACUAAGCUAUUUUGACAUGCAUGAGGAUGGCAUGAACAGAUGCGGCUCGUGAAAACAAUGCAAAACCAUAUAAAGAACAUUGCAAACGGAGCUACGGAUCAACGGGAAUCAACAAGACAAGAUAUGAAGCUCUACGUGGAAGAAUCAACACCACACUCAUAAUUGGCACAAAUAUGGUAUUCCCAGGUUGCCAAGACAUAUAACAACCCAAAAUGAAUGGACUGCAGCAAGGAAGAACACCACAACAUCAACUAAGCACACACAAUGAUCAAAAUGACUGUACAACUCAAUCUGCCCCAAUCUGCAUCUUAGCUCUUUGUGAGCUACAUGCAACAUAACUACAACCCUAUAAAUAUGACAAAUAAUAUAUGUGGCUGUAGCCAACCAAGAACACUACAAGCACCAGCAAGAAUCACAGUAAAAGGAAUUAAACUCUAGAAGAUACAAGGCCACAAACUUUCACAAAACCAUUAGAUCUCAGGGACUUAGUGAAAAUUCCUGCACCUCACUUUCUGUCUUAGUUCCGAAGCCUUUUGACAGCAAUCAAAACACAACCUACUGGACUCCAAAUGAGAUGAAUUUUGACAGGGAGCUUCACAAACAUAUCAGGUCCAAAAUCCUAGCACUGAACUAAGGCUAGUUCCCAACACAAUGACCAGCACAUCCUCAUCUACAGGAGAAGUAAAUGUUUUCAGAUUCUCAGACUUGGUGAAAUUCCAGAUUUCACUAAGCUGGACUUUUUCAGCCACAUGCCCACUUUGUCUAGGCAUAGUUUGCACAUAAAUAACACCAAGUGAUAAAUGACACCACUAUGGUGUAGAGCAAAACUCCUACUACUAUCACACAAAACCUCAUGCCCUUAGGCUCCACCUAUUCCAUGGAAACUUAGGCUCCACCUAUUCUAUGGUAACAAAGAGCAAACUUGCAACAAAUCUGAAUAUGUCAACUCCAUAAAGUAUCCCAAUGGCAAAGCUAUCUUCACCACUGGAUUCCUUGUGAGAUCCUACCCCAAAAUCAUAUAUAAAAUGUGGGCACCUACUUGGAACAAGUGACCACAAAUUAAGGGAGAGUAAACUACUCCAAAUCAUGCCUAGUGAAUAGGGCAUCAUUUCAUGUAGUUCCACUAUAUCAACAACUACAAAGGUUGAGCUCAUGUGCACAAUGACAAAGUGACAUGGGGGUUUGAACCCCGUGUUUGUGUUAUGCACAUCAACUUCAUAACACUACUACCAAGCUAUCCACACAAACAACAUACCAUGCCCUCUCACAUAUGGUCAUGUGGAGGUGCAAGGCUUGUUUGCAAAGGUGGAGUGCCUCUCACACACACAUCCACUCCACUACACACAUCAAAACAUGUUCUUGGACAACACUAAAUAUUGCAUCUAUUUAGAUCACUCAAGUAGGGAGCUCAUCCACCACAAACACAUGCUCACAAACUUAGAUGUACAUGAACUAUGUUCAUGUGGGAGGUGUUUCUCACACCACAUGCACCACAAGAUAUAUAUGCACUCAUAACCUAUCACACUACACCAUAUAAGCAUGACACUAGUGCAUCUACACACUCACUUAGGCUAGCUUCACCACACACUCACAUACAUACAAUCAUGCAUACACACAUAUGAACACAUACACCACACUCACAUAUCUUACCUACACCACUACAACUUCUGGACAGGAAAAGAAAAAUAAGAUGCACUCCUUCAUGCCUAUUAUUUAGGCACAAGGUAUAACAGCAAAUAGCAAAGGAAAAUUAAUAGAAA
rnacentral:lncRNA from 1 species